AAUAAUGCAUGAACAUAAUAACGAAAAAAAUGUCAACAUACACAUAAUCAAGGAUGAACUUAACAAUAUUUUAAAUGCAAAAAUAUGGAGUCAAAACCGCAAAAGCAAGAUGAAGAAAAUAAUUUUGAUGCAAAUGAAAAGAAGUAAUGAGUGAUUAAAAUGAAAAUAAUAUGAUAUGCACAUGUUACACAAUGAAAUAUAUGAAUGAACGAAGAUGAGCAACUUUUCA
rnacentral:lncRNA from 1 species